rnacentral:rRNA from 1 species
GGGUUUGAUCCUAGCUCAGGGUGAACGCUGGCGGUGUGCCUAACACAUGCAAGUCGAGCGACGAACUCGGGCGAUUUUGCGCAAGCGGAAUUGCCUGGGGGAAAGCGGCGGAUGGGUGAGUAACACCUGGGUAACCUACCUUCAGGAUCAGGAUAACCCGCCGAAAGGCGGGCUAAUACUGGAUAAUCACGAGAAAUUUCCUUUUUUCGUGUAAAGUUCUGUCCAAAAGACAGAACACCCGAAGAUGGGCCUGGGUCCUAUCAGCUUGUUGGCGGGGUAAAAGCCCACCAAGGCUAUGACAGGUAGCUGGUCUGAGAGGACGGCCAGCCACACGGGGAUUGAGAUACAGCCCCGACUCCUACGGGAGGCAGCAGUGAGGAAUCUUGGACAAUGCCCGCAAGGGUGAUCCAGCGACACCGCGUGGGUGAUGAAGGGCUUCGGCCUGUAAAACCCUGUCAAGUGGGAAGAAAACUACCUUUAAGGUAGUUUGACGGUACCACUGAAGGAAGCUCCGGCUAAUCCCGUGCCAGCAGCCGCGGUAAGACGGGAGGGGCAAGCGUUACCCGGAUUCACUGGGUGUAAAGGGUCUGUAGGCGGUUUGGUAUGUCGUGCCUGAAAUCCUCUGGCUCAACCAGAGAAUUGGGUACGAAACUGCCAGACUUGAGUCCGGACGAGGAGAGCGGAACUGCCGGUGUAGCGGUGGAAUGCGUAGAUAUCGGCAGGAACACCAUUGGCGAAGGCGGCUCUCUAUUCCGGUACUAACGCUGAAAGACGAAAGCGUGGGGAGCGAUCGGGAUUAGAUACCCCGGUAGUCCACGCCGUAAACGAUAGAUGCUGGGUGUCGGUUCGGUUUUCGGAUCGGUGCCGAAGCAAACGCGUUAAGCAUCUCACCUGGGGACUACGACCGCAAGGUUGAAACUCAAAGGAAUUGACGGGGGAGCGCACAACCGGUGGAGCAUGUGGUUUAAUUCGAUACAAAGCGAAAAACCUUACCUGGGUUUGACAUGUAACUGCACGGUCUAGGAAACUAGAUCUUCUUCGAGAGUGUUACACAGGUGUUGCAUGGCUGUCGUCAGCUCGUGUCGUGAGGCGUCCACUUAAGUGUGGUAACGAGCGCAACCCUUAUCCCGUGUUACAAGUGUCACGGGAGACUGCCUUGCUUUUUGCAGGGAGGAAGGAGAGGAUGACGUCAAGUCAGCACGACCCUUACAUCCAGGGCGACACACAUCCUACAAUGGAGCCGACAACGGGUAGCGAAGCCGCAAGGUGGAGCCAAUCCUUUAAACGGCCCCUCAGUUCAGAUUGUUCUCUGCAAUUCGAGAGCAUGAAGUCGGAAUCGGUAGUAAUCGCAAAUCAGCAGGUUGCGGUGAAUACGUUCUCGCUCCUUGCACACACUGCCCGUCAAACCAGCA